CUCAGCCUAGCUCUAAGCAUUCCCUCACUGUCUGCCUCUCCCCUGCACAGGGAAUGAAUGUGGGGAGACAGACCUGCUUUGGUAGCAGCAACACGUUUUUUCCACGUUUUUUGAGCCACCCCUUCCUCAGGGUGGGAGCGGGGGAGCCUCCAGGCUGAGCUCGUGUCCAACACUGCAGCGCCAGGGGAGGGCUGUGUGUGCUCCUUGGCUUUUUAUGUGGCCAUGCUGGGGGUUAUGUCAGGGUCUGGGGGUGCUACCUGCUGCCUGCUCAGACUGGAGAGCAAAUUUGUCAGACAACCCCUGUGACACCAAAGGCAGCUCAGCCUUGCUGCAAGGCUCCCCUCAAGGCUCUGCAGAUUCCAGAGGAAUCCAGAGGAACAGCAAAGCUUUGUGUCAGUGUGCAAGAAAGGUGGUGUGGCAGGAAUGUGCCUGUGCCACACGUGGUGGCUGUCCUGACACUGGAAUAGGUCCUCUGGGGGGUUUUUUUGGGCACCUGACAGUGGGUGCUACCAUGCCAGCCUAAGCCAAGCCUGUCUGAACCACCACAGCUGCAAGAGAGGAGCUGUUCUUUGUAAAAUAGGCUUUAAUUGCAGUGCCUGCUUAGUUCAGCAUCAUCCUGGAGCACGGUUUGGUUCAGAUAGGGAACAAAUCCCUGGGAGAUGGAUUUGGAGCCUGGAGCAGACAGUUUAAAAGAUUUGCACAGAAAGCUGCAACUUGAGGACAUGGUUGAUAUUUUAUUUUAUUU